CCUACGGGAGGCAGCAGUGGGGAAUAUUGCACAAUGGGCGAAACUCUGAUGCAGCAACGCCGCGUGAGUGAAGAAGUAUUUCGGUAUGUAAAGCUCUAUUAGCAGGGAAGAGAAUGACGGUACCUAACUGAGCAGCCCCGGCUAACUACGUGCCAGCAGCCGAGGUAAUACGUAGGGGGCGAGCGUUAUCCGGAUUUACUGGGGGUAAAGGGAGCGUAGGCGGUUCUGCAAGUCUGAAGUGAAAGCCCGUGGCUUAACCGGGGAACGGCUUUGGAAACUGUGGGACUGGAGUGCAGGAGAGGCGAGCGGAAUUCCUAGUGUAGCGGUGAAAUGCGUAGAUAUAAGGAGGAACACCAGUGGCGAAGGCGGCUUGCUGGACAGUAACUGACGUUGAGGCUCGAAAGCGUGGGGAGCAAACAGGAUUAGAUACCCCAGUAGUC
rnacentral:rRNA from 1 species